ensembl:rRNA 5S_rRNA 5S ribosomal RNA
GCCAGCAGCUAUCACUCUCCAGCUCUCGCCUGGUCACCCACUGAAGCAGGGUUGUGCCUGGUCAGUACCUGGAUGGGAGACCUCCUGGGAAAACUGGAAGAGGUGCUAGUG